UACAGGGGGCGCGAGCGUUGCUCGGAAUCACUGGGCGUAAAGCGUACGCAGGCGGAUCGUUAAGUCGGGUGUGAAAGCCCGGGGCUCAACCCCGGAAUUGCAUUCGAUACUGGCGGUCUUGAGUGCGGGAGAGGUGAGUGGAAUUCCUGGUGUAGAGGUGAAAUUCGUAGAUAUCAGGAGGAACACCGGUGGCGAAGGCGGCUCACUGGCCCGACACUGACGCUCAUGUCCGAAAGCGUGGGGAGCAAACAGG
rnacentral:rRNA from 1 species